GCUAAACGCGAAGAACCUUACCUGGUCUUGACAUGUCUGGAAUCCCGAAGAGAUUUGGGAGUGCCGCAAGGAACCAGAACACAGGUGCUGCAUGGCUGUCGUCAGCUCGUGUCGUGAGAUGUUGGGUUAAGUCCCGCAACGAGCGCAACCCUUGUCCUUAGUUGCCAUCAUUUAGUUGGGAACUCUAAGGAGACCGCCGGUGACAAACCGGAGGAAGGUGGGGAUGACGUCAAGUCAUCAUGGCCUUUAUGACCAGGGCUACACACGUGCUACAAUGGCAGGUACAGAGGGAAGCCAACCAGCAAUGGGGAGCCAAUCCCAGAAAGCCUGUCUUAGUCCGGAUUGCAGUCUGCAACUCGACUGCAUGAAGUUGGAAUCGCUAGUAAUCGCAGAUCAGCAUUGCUGCGGUGAAUACGUUCCCGGGUCUUGUACACACCG
rnacentral:rRNA from 1 species